CUACGGGCGGCAGCAGUCAAGAAUCUUCCACAAUGGACGAAAGUCUGAUGGAGCGACGCCGCGUGAAGGAAGACGCCCCUUGGGGUGUAAACUUCUUUUAUUAGGGACGAAACAAUGACGGUACCUAAUGAAUAAGGGGCUGCUAAACUCGUGCCAGCAGCAGCGGUAAUACGAGUGCCCCGAGCGUUAUCCGGAUUUAUUGGGCGUAAAGAGUCUGUAGGUGGCUUUGUAAGUUGACGGUUAAAUCAUAUGGCUCAACCAUGUGACCGCCGUCAAUACUGCUUGGCUAGAGGCUGGAAGAGGCAACUGGAAUUGCUGGUGUAGGGGUAAAAUCCGUUAAUAUCAGCAGGAACACCAAAUGCGAAGGCAUGUUGCUGGGACAGUUCUGACACUGAGAGACGAAAGCGUGGGGAGCGAAUGGGAUUAGAUACCCUGGUAGUC
rnacentral:rRNA from 1 species